GGGAUCGUAGCUCAGCUGGGAGAGCGUCCGCCCUGCAAGCGGAAGGCCGCAGGUUCAAACCCCGCCGGUUCCA
rnacentral:tRNA from 3 species